AAAUUGAAGAGUUUGAUCAUGGCUCAGAUUGAACGCUGGCGGCAGGCCUAACACAUGCAAGUCGAACGGUAACAGGAAGCAGCUUGCUGCUUUGCUGACGAGUGGCGGACGGGUGAGUAAUGUCUGGGAAACUGCCUGAUGGAGGGGGAUAACUACUGGAAACGGUGGCUAAUACCGCAUAACGUCGCAAGACCAAAGAGGGGGACCUUCGGGCCUCUUGCCAUCAGAUGUGCCCAGAUGGGAUUAGCUUGUUGGUGAGGUAACGGCUCACCAAGGCGACGAUCCCUAGCUGGUCUGAGAGGAUGACCAGCCACACUGGAACUGAGACACGGUCCAGACUCCUACGGGAGGCAGCAGUGGGGAAUAUUGCACAAUGGGCGCAAGCCUGAUGCAGCCAUGCCGCGUGUAUGAAGAAGGCCUUCGGGUUGUAAAGUACUUUCAGCGGGGAGGAAGGUGUUGUGGUUAAUAACCGCAGCAAUUGACGUUACCCGCAGAAGAAGCACCGGCUAACUCCGUGCCAGCAGCCGCGGUAAUACGGAGGGUGCAAGCGUUAAUCGGAAUUACUGGGCGUAAAGCGCACGCAGGCGGUCUGUCAAGUCGGAUGUGAAAUCCCCGGGCUCAACCUGGGAACUGCAUUCGAAACUGGCAGGCUUGAGUCUUGUAGAGGGGGGUAGAAUUCCAGGUGUAGCGGUGAAAUGCGUAGAGAUCUGGAGGAAUACCGGUGGCGAAGGCGGCCCCCUGGACAAAGACUGACGCUCAGGUGCGAAAGCGUGGGGAGCAAACAGGAUUAGAUACCCUGGUAGUCCACGCCGUAAACGAUGUCUACUUGGAGGUUGUGCCCUUGAGGCGUGGCUUCCGGAGCUAACGCGUUAAGUAGACCGCCUGGGGAGUACGGCCGCAAGGUUAAAACUCAAAUGAAUUGACGGGGGCCCGCACAAGCGGUGGAGCAUGUGGUUUAAUUCGAUGCAACGCGAAGAACCUUACCUGGUCUUGACAUCCACAGAACUUUCCAGAGAUGGAUUGGUGCCUUCGGGAACUGUGAGACAGGUGCUGCAUGGCUGUCGUCAGCUCGUGUUGUGAAAUGUUGGGUUAAGUCCCGCAACGAGCGCAACCCUUAUCCUUUGUUGCCAGCGAUUAGGUCGGGAACUCAAAGGAGACUGCCAGUGAUAAACUGGAGGAAGGUGGGGAUGACGUCAAGUCAUCAUGGCCCUUACGACCAGGGCUACACACGUGCUACAAUGGCGCAUACAAAGAGAAGCGACCUCGCGAGAGCAAGCGGAUCUCAUAAAGUGCGUCGUAGUCCGGAUUGGAGUCUGCAACUCGACUCCAUGAAGUCGGAAUCGCUAGUAAUCGUGGAUCAGAAUGCCACGGUGAAUACGUUCCCGGGCCUUGUACACACCGCCCGUCACACCAUGGGAGUGGGUUGCAAAAGAAGUAGGUAGCUUAACCUUCGGGAGGGCGCUUACCACUUUGUGAUUCAUGACUGGGGUGAAGUCGUAACAAGGUAACCGUAGGGGAACCUGCGGUUGGAUCACCUCCUUACCUUAAAGAA
rnacentral:rRNA from 1 species